UAAACUAGGAUUAGAUACCCUAUUAUUUUAGAGCUUGACAUUGUUAGUAAAUAAAUAUUACGAAAGCAAAAAAUUAUGGCGGUAUUUUAAGCUUUUCAGAGGAAUUUGCUCUUUAAUGGAUAAAACACCUAAAUCUUACUUAAAUUUGUCAAUUCAAUUUGUAUACCACUAUUGAAAUAAUUAAUAACUUUAAUUGUUUAAAUUUAUAAAAUUAAAUUAUGUUAAGUCAAGGUGCAGUAAAAAUUUAAGAAUGAAGUGAAUUACAUUUCUUUUUAGAGAAAAAAAAAUUAAAUUAACAUUUAGGAUUUGAAAGUAAAAUUAAAAUAGUAUGUUAAUUUGAAUUAAGCUCUAAAAUAUGUACAUAUCGCCCGUCACUCUUUAUUAAGAUAAUC
rnacentral:rRNA from 1 species